rnacentral:lncRNA from 1 species
CCCACAUCAAGAAGUCAGCAAGACUCCAAAGAAGGGUCCAUCUUGCUUCCUGAAAACUGCUGGACAGGAUUUGUAGUGCAUCUAUGUGCCUGCAGGACUAAGCAAGCACAGACAGCUCUGAGCUGGCUUUGCACUAAACCAGCUGCACUGCAAUGGGUCCAGAUAUGGGCAGAAUUCUCCAUGUGCCAUGUCACUCUUCUGUACCUACAUGGAGCUUGGUAAGCUACAUGAUUUUUCUCUCUUUGAAUACUUCAAGGUAAAAAGUUUGGUUUGAAGAGGAGGCUUUUUGAUAAAUAUUUGAGUGGCAUUUCUUUAACUUCAUAAGCUUUCAUGACAAGUCUGCCCACUAAGGCUCACCUUGUCUCAGUUCACUGCUAGGGCUCAGUGACUGAUGUUACCCAGACUUUCCACCUGCAAUUAAUCUAACACGUUUUUGUAGAAGCACCUUCAGAACACAGUGCUACAGUGGAUGAAACAAGAGGUAAAUGACAUUUGUGUGUGUGUCAGCUGAAACUAGUGUGACUCUAAGCUAGUCCAAACUUGGUUUUAACACGAACAUAGGCUCCCUCAGGCAAACAGAUCUCUUGCAUUAGCACAUCUGGUCAUCUGGAUCUUUCAAAGUAAAGAUAAUAAUUUAUUUAAAAGUUCUUUAUCUAUUGUUAAUGACACGGCUUGUGAAAGUAGCUUGACUGGUAAGGACUGAGGCAGAAGGCUUCUGGGAGCAGAUGAAGGGCAAGCCAGAAGAAGGUGAAAAAGCAAAAUGAGCAGUAAGAGUGUAGAGUUAAAAAUAAAAGGUGUAAAUCUAACAACUAUUGAA